rnacentral:rRNA from 1 species
UACGUAGGGUGCAGGCGUUAAUCGGAAUUACUGGGCGUAAAGCGUGCGCAGGCGGUUUGCUAAGACAGGUGUGAAAUCCCCGGGCUUAACCUGGGAACUGCGCUUGUAACUAGCAGGCUAGAGUGUGGCAGAGGGGGGUGGAAUUCCACGUGUAGCAGUGAAAUGCGUAGAGAUGUGGAGGAACACCGGUGGUGUAAACGGCUUUCUGGACCAUAACUGACGCUGAGGCACGAAAGCGUGGGUAGCAAACAGG